UCGGGAAUAUUGCGCAAUGGAGGAAACUCUGACGCAGUGACGCCGCGUAUAGGAAGAAGGUUUUCGGAUUGUAAACUAUUGUCGUUAGGGAAGAUACAAGACAGUACCUAAGGAGGAAGCUCCGGCUAACUACGUGCCAGCAGCCGCGGUAAUACGUAGGGAGCAAGCGUUAUCCGGAUUUAUUGGGUGUAAAGGGUGCGUAGACGGGACAACAAGUUAGUUGUGAAAUCCCUCGGCUUAACUGAGGAACUGCAACUAAAACUAUUGUUCUUGAGUGUUGGAGAGGAAAGUGGAAUUCCUAGUGUAGCGGUGAAAUGCGUAGAUAUUAGGAGGAACACCGGUGGCGAAGGCGACUUUCUGGACAAUAACUGACGUUGAGGCACGAAAGUGUGGGGAGCAAACAGGAUUAGAUACCCUGGUAGUCCACACCGUAAACGAUGGAUACUAGGUGUAGGAAAUGAUUUUAUUUUCUGUGCCGUCGCAAACGCAAUAAGUAUCCCACCUGGGGAGUACGGCCGCAAGGUUGAAACUCAAAGGAAUUGACGGGGGCCCGCACAAGCAGUGGAGUAUGUGGUUUAAUUCGAAGCAACGCGAAGAACCUUACCAGGGCUUGACAUAUAGAUGAAUAACUAAGAGAUUAGUUAGUCCUUCGGGACAUCUAUACAGGUGGUGCAUGGUUGUCGUCAGCUCGUGUCGUGAGAUGUUAGGUUAAGUCCUGCAACGAGCGCAACCCCUGUGAUUAGUUGCCAACAGGUUAAGCUGGGAACUCUAAUCAGACUGCCGGUGAUAAAUCGGAGGAAGGUGGGGAUGACGUCAAAUCAUCAUGCCCUUUAUGUCCUGGGCUACACACGUACUACAAUGGCUGUAACAGAGAGAAGCAACACCGCGAGGUAGAGCGAAACUCCAAAAGCAGUCUCAGUUCGGAUUGAAGGCUGAAAUUCGCCUUCAUGAAGCCGGAAUUGCUAGUAAUGGCAGGUCAGCAUACUGCCGUGAAUACGUUCCC
rnacentral:rRNA from 1 species